rnacentral:rRNA from 1 species
GCUUAUGGCCAUACCAGCCUGCUAAUGCCCGAUCUUGUCCUGAUCUCUGAAUAUAAGCAGGUUUGGGCCAGGUUAGUACAUGGAUGGGAGACUGCCUGGGAAUACCAGGUGCUUUAAAUU